UACGUAGGGUGCGAGCGUUGUCCGGAAUUAUUGGGCGUAAAGAGCUCGUAGGCGGUUUGUUGCGUCGGCCGUGAAAACCUGCAGCUUAACUGUGGGCCUGCGGCCGAUACGGGCAGACUUGAGUUCGGUAGGGGAGACUGGAAUUCCUGGUGUAGCGGUGAAAUGCGCAGAUAUCAGGAGGAACACCGGUGGCGAAGGCGGGUCUCUGGACCGUAACUGACGCUGAGACACGAAAGCGUGGGUAGCAAACAGG
rnacentral:rRNA from 1 species